rnacentral:tRNA from 1 species
ACCUGACUGGCUCAGUCAAUACAGCACGUGACUCUUGAUCUCGGGGUCAUGAGUUCAAACCCCAUGUUGGGCA